GACGAACCGUGCAAACGUUAUUCGGAAUCACUGGGCUUAAAGGGUGCGUAGGCGGGCAAUCAAGUCAGUGGUGAAAUCCCCCGGCCCAACCGGGGAACUGCCGCCGAUACUGAUUGUCUCGAGGGAGGUAGGGGUGUGUGGAACUUCCGGUGGAGCGGUGAAAUGCGUAGAGAUCGGAAGGAACGCCGGCGGCGAAAGCGACACACUGGAUCUCUUCUGACGCUGAGGCACGAAAGCCAGGGGAGCAAACGGG
rnacentral:rRNA from 1 species